UUAGAACAACAGACUAGAUGUUAUUUGUCUGCCGGAUCUUAUAUGGUACAGAGAGGAUUCUUGAAAACAUGAUUUAGCCUCUUGGAGAAAACAGGUCAUUCUGUGCCUGUGUCUGAAACCGUAACUGAGAUUUUAACUCUAGACCCAUCCCCAAUGGACUGCAAACAUGGAUGUUUCGAAAUACUUUGGUACCUCUCUCUUCCAACUUUAACAAAAUGUGAAAAUACCCAUUUCUAUUUUCCUAGAAGUACAGGAAGGAUUAAAUUACUUCUGAUGGAGAGAGAAUUCAGUUUCUCAGAGAGAAGACAGGACAUCAUUCAUCACUUUUGUGAUGAGUGUUCAUCUCUGACUUCUCACUGGGCCAAGGGCCCGCAGAUACCACCAUGCUGACGUUUGUGGCAGAAGAGCUGGAGCCAUGGACUGGGGAGAAAAAACCCAAACACAUGAUGGGUUAAUAACUGGUGAAAUCAAAUAGGUUGAAUCAGGACUGAGGGAUGUCACUGACAGCCUUGUCCACUGAUUUGAAGAUGCUGUUUCCCUGGUUUCACUCUUCUCAUCUCCACUCUUGAUCUCCUGCAUGGUUUCCUGAUCCAUCAGGCAAUGCAUUUCUGAUCUGGAGGGCCACCAUCAAGAUGUCACCAAAUACUGAAAAGUCCCUUUGCUCCCCAUAUCACUGGGGACUUGCGCAGCCUCUCUGGACUUUGGAAGCUCUCUCCCGCAUCCCACCACGGAUCUGAUUCCCAGGCACAGACUUAGUGUUGUGUCACAGUUCGCAUUUCAAACCUAAUUCUUUCCCUUAGGAGAGGACAAACUUGCCCCACAGUCCUCUAUGCCUCAGGAGACUUCACAGGCCCUCCAUGUGGCUUCUGCUGUGUUAUUCAGGGACAUGCUCUCCAUGGGGAGUGCUCCAGUCUGAAGCACUUCCUACCACCAAAUGCCCCCAUGUCAAGUGCCUUCUUCAACACCACACGGCGAGGGGCUUUAUCUCAUUUUCAAAAGCACUCAUGUGUUCCCACGUUUAGAUGCUUCAGACCCUUGCAAGAGACAAUUUGCCUGCCUUCUCCGAUGGACACAGAGAUACUCAAAAGGAUAAAUUACUCACUGACAGUUACUAAGAACAUUGCCAAGAAGACAGCCUGGGAACCUUCACUCUAAGUCUACAGCUCUUUUCACUCUAACAAGCACCCUCCUGUCACAGCCCCCUUCCUCUCCUUUACAACUAGAGAGAUGCUGCCUCUUACUCCAAAGACCAUCUCCACCAAGGAAGGAGGGACAUUUGCAAUACUGUGACCUCCAAACCCAUGGGUUUCCCAUCUCUGAUAUCAUGCAGGAAGUCCUGGAAGGGCCACAUAUGUUUAGUGGAAAAAAACACCACCGAUACAACGAUUAUUGUGAAAGUACGGAGGUCUGGAGUCUCUCAUAAGCCUGGGGUUAUGGAUCAUCAGGUCCUAUGAAGACUUUACCUGGGGUGAGCUUUUGGACGAGGUGCCGUGCCCGCCUACAGCCCUCGGCCAGCUGUUCUCGGAGGUCCCGCCCGUGGGAGUUGGCUGGCUCAUCCGGAGUGAGGAGGGCCUGGAGAUGCUGAUUCAAUGCGCGAGAGGCAUCUCUCCCUUCCUGCAACUUCUCCCUUAACUGGCUCAGCUCUCGUUCCUUAGAGUGAACCAGGACUUUAUAUUGCCUACGGUGAGGUAGUAGAGAAAAUUUAACAGUGGAAAGGGGUGAGUGAUAAGAUCGAAUAUUGUGACAGAGAUUUCUGAGACAAUGUCCUCAAGGAGACCUCCAAGAAGGUCAGCACAUGUUUAAAGAAAUGUCUGUGGCCAAGAGAAAGAACAAAAAAUGGUUUACAGGCUUCCUCUAUAUCAGAGAGGGCUCCUGUAAGAUCCUCCACGAUGUUCCAUUCAUCUUUCCCUUCUAUAAACAAAAGUAGGUGUCUUCCUUAUUCAAUUUCAAAAAGACAUUCAUCCUUUCAGUUCCUCACUCUGGCCAUGAAUAUUUCUACGUGAAAAUACACAUAGUGCAUCUUGCAGUCACUAGAUGCAAAGCCAUGGACAGAAAUGAGGCCAGGUGCAGACGGGGCCAACUGAAAAGACGAAAGAAGAAAAGAAUGACAGGCAACAUUGAUUGAGUGAAAGGAUGAGAAGCUGCAGUCAGUCAGGAGGUGAUUCUGACUAAGGAAGUACGGAAAGGAUUACAUUACUUCUGAUGGAGAGAGAAUUCAGUUUCUCAGAGAGAAGACAGGACAUCAUUCAUCACUUUCGUGAUGGUGAGCCUACGGAACUUACUAGUGUUCAUCUCCGCCUUCUUAUUGGACCAAGGGCCCGCAGAUACCACCAUGCUGACGUUUGUGGCAGAAGACGUGGAGUCAGGGACUGGGGAGAAGAAACCGAAACACAUGAUGCGUUAAAAACUGAACAUGGCAAGAUCAAGGUUAUGGUCAGGGUUGGUUGGUGAUCCUCAGUGGUGCAGCAGAAGGUGAGUUUGACAUGAGAGGAAUGAGUAGGAAAGAGCAAUCCCCUGAGCCACCUCCUCACUUUCUCAGC